UACAGGGGGGGCAAGCGUUGUUCGGAAUUACUGGGCGUAAAGCGCGCGUAGGCGGUUUUCCAAGUCGGGCGUGAAAGCCCCGGGCUCAACCCGGGAAAUGCGCUCGAAACUUGAAGACUGGAGGCCGGAAGAGGGUAGUGGAAUUCCCAGUGUAGAGGUGAAAUUCGUAGAUAUUGGGAAGAACACCAGUGGCGAAGGCGGCUACCUGGUCCGGAUCUGACGCUGAGGCGCGAAAGCGUGGGGAGCAAACAGG
rnacentral:rRNA from 1 species